rfam:Erinaceus europaeus unplaced genomic scaffold scaffold00209, whole genome shotgun sequence
UAGGGGUGACAGGGUUCGGGUCCCCUCCCCAAACCCAGGGUAACUUUAACAAUAGAGGGGAA